GUGAAUCAUCGAAUUUUUGAACGCAAAUUGCACUCUCCUGGGAGAGUAUGCCCGUUUCAGGUUCAGCCUCUAUAAAAUCAACAUCGUUGCGGUUUCGCGGUGGCGUCCGUCGGAGAUGGAGCCAUCUUAAAUCUUUUGGGGUUACGCGACUUAAAAUUUUCUUUUUGGUUACAUGAACGUUUCUAAGAUUUAUUUGUUUACACGUUUAAGGUAUCGAUUUUUAUUAGACGUGACCAGCAUAUCGAAUCGCGCCCAUUAUCUUUCAU
rnacentral:misc_RNA from 1 species